UAGGGAAUCUUCGGCAAUGGACGAAAGUCUGACCGAGCAAUGCCGCGUGAGUGAAGAAGGUUUUCGGAUUGUAAAACUCUGUUGGUAGAGAAGAACGUUGGUGAGAGUGGAAAGCUCAUCAAGUGACGGUAACUACCCAGAAAGGGACGGCUAACUACGUGCCAG
rnacentral:rRNA from 1 species